rnacentral:tRNA from 1 species
GUCAGAAUGGCCGAGCGGUCUAAGGCGCCAGAUUUAAGCUCUGGUUCUCGAAAGAGAGCAUGGGUUCGAACCCCACUUCUGACA